GAUGAACGCUGGCGGCGUGCUUAACACAUGCAAGUCGAACGAUGAAGCUCAGCUUGCUGGGUGGAUUAGUGGCGAACGGGUGAGUAACACGUGAGUAACCUGCCCUUAACUCUGGGAUAAGCCUGGGAAACUAGGUCUAAUACCGGAUAGGAGCGCCUACCGCAUGGUGGGUGUUGGAAAGAUUUAUCGGUUUUGGAUGGACUCGCGGCCUAUAGCUUGUUGGUGAGGUAAUGGCUCACCAAGGCGACGACGGGUAGCCGGCCUGGGAGGGUGACCGGCCACACUGGGACUGAGACAGGGCCCAGACUCCUACGGGAGGCAGCAGUGGGGAAUAUUGCACAAUGGGCGAAAGCCUGAUGCAGCGACGCCGCGUGAGGGAUGACGGCCUUCGGGUUGUAAACCUCUUUCAGUAGGGAAGAAGCGAAAGUGACGGUACCUGCAGAAGAAGCACCGGCUAACUACGUG
rnacentral:rRNA from 1 species